rnacentral:lncRNA from 1 species
ACAGAAGUUGGUGCCCUUUGCAGCAGCCAGGAGUCCGACUCCUCCUCUUCCUGUGUGGAACCUGGAAUUCAAACGGCUGGAGUCAAAGAAACUUUGAACUAUUUAUGGCCUUUAAUAAUUAAGUAAGGUAUACUCCUGUGAUCAAGACUUGGAGCAUAUUUGUUUCUCUCUGCCUGGUUCCUCUAGAAAUUGGAAACUAUCAGAACAGAGACCAACUCCGUUUCCCGAUCCCUUUGCAAUCUGCAUUGAACCAUGAGUCAAGUUCUUGAUAAAGGAGUGAAAAUGGUAAGUCUAAAGCAAUGAAAAGCUGCUGUAUUGACUACACAUGCCUUCAUUUCUUCUACCCUGCUUCUUUCAUGCCUGCUUAUCUGAAUGACACCAGGAUGACAUUUAAGGCACAUCUGAAGAUGGGGAAACCACAGCACAGAAUAAGGCUGGGCCCUUGAAUCAAUAAAUGAAGGAGAACUACUCAAGAGAACAAAACCACCAGCAAUAUCCACCUGUAUUUGUCUUUUCAUAAUGUGUGACACAUGUGCUCAUGGAUUAUUGUCCGAAGCAAGACAUGUGACCAAGCCUAACAUCAACUGGGUGAAGAGCUAUAUGUUCCUUUCUCAAGAGGCACUACAAGUGACAUGCCACUGGGCAGUUUAGCAAAAGCUGGAGGUGCCUUGACAUUUGCAGUACACUGAAACAGUGGCUGGCUUGAAAAAUCCCAAAACGAUUUUCUGCAGGAGAGCCCUUUUGACUAAUAUGAGAAUAUUUAUGUGUGAAUCAACUAGAGGAAUGAACAUCACCUAAAGACAAAACAGGAUCUUUGUAUACAUCUUCUGGGAAGGAGUUGUUAUCAUUUCCACAAGGCCAAUUGCAUCAUUCGGAUAAAAACAUUAUAUUGUUGUCUUUAUUUGGAAGUAAAAUAUAUUUUAAAGAGAUGUGAAUGAUUAUAAAGUUUAUAAUAGGUAUACUGUGAUGACUUUGUCAAACGUUAACUUGACUAGGCUGAAUGAUAUUUCCUAGAAUUCCCUUUCCUUUGUUUUCUAUUAAAGAGGGAAUGUUUUCUGGUAGACCAUGUAAUAGAGAUAGAA